GCAAAGGCAAUGUCAGGCACGCUGGUAAAGGACCACUAGAAUCCAGCAGCCCAGACCCCUUUCUUUGUGGUCAAGAAGGGCAGGAAAACAGGUGCAGGACUGCUACAUCGGGAAAGGAAGAAAAUCCUACUGCCUUUCUGGAGAGACUAAGGGAGGCAUUGAGGAAGCAUACCUCUCUGUCAUCUGGAUCUAUUGAAGGCCAACUAAUCUUAAAGGGUAAGUUUAUC
rnacentral:lncRNA from 1 species